rnacentral:rRNA from 1 species
GAUGAACGCUGGCGGCGUGCUUAACACAUGCAAGUCGAACGGAAAGGCUCCUGCUUGCAGGGGUACUCGAGUGGCGAACGGGUGAGUAACACGUGGGUGAUCUGCCCUGCACUUCGGGAUAAGCCUGGGAAACUGGGUCUAAUACCGGAUAGGACCAUCGUUUAGUGUCGGUGGUGGAAAGUUUUUUCGGUGUGGGAUGAGCUCGCGCCCUAUCAGCUUGUUGGUGGGGUAAUGGCCUACCAAGGCGUCGACGGGUAGCCGGCCUGAGAGGGUGUACGGCCACAUUGGGACUGAGAUACGGCCCAGACUCCUACGGGAGGCAGCAGUGGGGAAUAUUGCACAAUGGGCGCAAGCCUGAUGCAGCGACGCCGCGUGGGGGAUGACGGCCUUCGGGUUGUAAACUCCUUUCGCCAGGGACGAAGCGAAAGUGACGGUACCUGGAUAAGAAGCACCGGCUAACUACGUG